rnacentral:rRNA from 1 species
GAGAGUUAGCAUUGCUAGGUCUCUAGAUAGUGGCGGACGGGUGAGUAACGCGUGAGAAUCUAGCUCUAGGAUUCGGGACAACCACUGGAAACGGUGGCUAAUUACCGGAUAUGCCGAGAGGUUGAAAGGUUAACUGCCUGGAGAAGAGUUCGCGUCUGAUUAGCUAGUUGGUAGUGUAAGGGACUACCAAGGCGACGGAUCAGUAGCUGGUCUGAAGCAGGAUGAUCAGCCACAUCUGGCAACUGAGACACGGUCCAGACAUCCUACGGCGAGGCAGCAGUGGGGAAUUUUCCGCAAUGGGGCGAAAGCCUGACGGAAGCAAUACCGCGUGGAGGGAGGAAGGCUCUUGGGUUUGUAAACCUCUUUUCUCAGGGAAUAAGCAAGUUGAAGGUACCUGAGAGAAUCAGCAUCGGCUAACUCCGUGCCAGCA